UACGUAGGUGGCAAGCGUUGUCCGGAUUUACUGGGCGUAAAGCGUGUGUAGGCGGACCUUUAAGUAGAAAGUGAAAAGGUUGGAGCUCAACUCCUACAUUGCUCUCUAUACUGGAGGUCUUGAGUGUCGGAGAGGAAGAUGGAACUGCACGUGUAGCGGUGAAAUGCGUUGAGAUGUGCAGGAACACCAAUGGCGAAGGCAAUCUUCUGGACGAAAACUGACG
rnacentral:rRNA from 1 species